CUCAAUGAAUUUUUAAUAGCCGCAAUAUAUUUGUGCUAAGGUAGCAUAAUCAUUUGUCUUUUAAUUAAAGACUAGAACAAAAGAUUCAAUAUUUUUAUUUCUUUCUUAAUAAUAUUAAUUAAAUUUAUCCUAAAUAUAAAAAGAUAUUUAUAACUUAAAAAGACGACAAGACCCUAUUGAACUUAACUAAAGUUUAACUGGGGAAGUAUAUUAAAUAAAAUUUUAAUUCAUAAUUAACAAAUCACCUAACAUAGUUAAAUUAUAUCAAGUUACCAUAGGGAUAACAGCGUAAUAAUUUUUUAUAGAUCUUAUUCAAAAAAUAGUUUGCGACCUCGAUGUUGAAUUAAUAAUCUAUUAAAUGCAAUAAUUUAAUAAGAAAGUCUGUUCGACUU
rnacentral:rRNA from 1 species